UAUACAAAUCUUCAAGCCAUGCUACUUCAGGCUGUGAUCUCAUCAGAUCUCAUAAGUCAAGCAUGGCUUGGCUUGGUCAGUACUUGGUCAGGGAACCUCAGUGAUAUAA
ensembl:rRNA 5S_rRNA 5S ribosomal RNA